GGCUGGAUGGCGCAAUGGUAGCGCGUGGCCCUCCUAAGGCCAAGGUUGUGGGUUCGAGUCCCACUUCGGUCG